rnacentral:rRNA from 1 species
CCUGAGAAACGGCUACCACAUCCAAGGAAGGCAGCAGGCACGCAAAUUACCCACUCCCGGCACGGGGAGGUAGUGACAAAAAAUAACGAUACGGGACUCAUCCGAGGCCCCGUAAUCGGAAUGAGAACACCCUAAAUCCUUUAACGAGGAUCUAUUGGAGGGCAAGUCUGGUGCCAGCAGCCGCGGUAAUUCCAGCUCCAAUAGCGUAUAUUAAAGUUGUUGCGGUUANNNNNNNCUAGUUGGUUCUGCGUGCCACGCUGUCGGUUCACCGCCUGCCGGUGCAACUGGCAUGCCGUGGCAUGUCCUGUCGGUGGCGGAUAGGCUUCGCGGCGUGCCCUAUGCGGUAUACCAGCGUGUAGGUCGCUGCGCCGCGUUGUCCUUGUACGCCGGCUCAAUCCUACCGCGGUGCUCUUUACCGAGUGUCGAGGUAGGCCGACACUGUUUACUUUGAACAAAUUAGAGUGCUUAAAGCAGGCUCUUAAAUCAGCCUGAAUAGUGGUGCAUGGAAUAAUGGAACAGGACCUUGGUUCUAUUUUGUUGGUUUUCGGAAUCCAAGGUAAUGAUCAAUAAGGACAGGCGGGGGCAUUCGUAUUGCGGCGUUAGACUUGGCAAAUGCUUUCGCGGUGAAAUUCUUGGAUCGUCGCAAGACGACCUAAAGCGAAAGCAUUUGCCAAGUAUGUCUUAAUUGAUCAAGAACGAAAGUUAGAGGUUCGAAGGCGAUCAGAUACCGCCCUAGUUCUAACCAUAAACGAUGCCAGCCAGCGAUCCGCCGAAGUUCCUCCGAUGACUCGGCGGGGAGCUUCCCGGAAACCAAAGCUUUUGGGUUCCGGGGGAAGUAUGGUUGCAAAGCUGAAACUUAAAGGAAUUGACGGAAGGGCACCACCAGGAGUGGAGCCUGCGGCUUAAUUUGACUCAACACGGGAAACCUCACCAGGCCAGGACAUUGGAAGGAUUGACAGAUCGAUAGCUCUUUCUCGAUUCAGUGGGUAGUGGUGCAUGGCCGUUCUUAGUUGGUGGACUGAUUUGUCUGGUUUAUUCCGAUAACGAACGAGACUC